rnacentral:lncRNA from 10 species
CGAGAUCCGAUGGGUUUAUCAGGGGUUUCCGCUUUUCCUUUGCUCUCAUUUUCUCUUGCCACUGCCAUGUAAGAAGUGCCUUUCACCUCCCGCCAUGGAUCUGAGUCCUCCCAAGCCAUGUGGAACUAAGACUCUGCCUUGCUAGCAGAAUUGCUCUACAGUUUUUCUCUCCUUUCUGGCUUUGGAGACACAAGAUGCCGUGAGUCCUAUGCCUGCAAGAAGAUGAAUUUUGCCAACACCCCAGUGAGCCUGAAAGUGAAUCUUUCUCCACAUGAGCUUUCAGAUGAGAAGUCAGUCCUGGCUGACCUUGACUGCAGCCUUGCACAGGACUCAGCCAAAGCUGUGUCUGGAUUCCUGACUCACAGAAACCAUGAGACAAUAAAUGUGUAUUGUUCUAAGAUGCUAAAUUUGUGGUAACUUGUUACACUGUAUUAAAGAAGCAUACACUAGUGUUCUUAAAUAAACAUUUGACUAUGGUGUUGGUGUUCAGGACAUCCACCCAGGAAUCUGGAUGGAAGAUGCCAUAGUCUUCUGACUUCCCUGGAUUGGCACACAUACACAUUGAAUGCUGACUUUUCCAAAGCAAGGAAGAACAAGAAGAAAGAAAAGAAGUGGGCUCUAUAUUCCUAUUAUUAAGUCUAAUAAUGUGCACGUUUGAAUUAUUGACCAGGACAUUUGUGUUUAAAGGAAA